rnacentral:rRNA from 1 species
AUUGAACGCUGGCGGCAGGCCUAACACAUGCAAGUCGAACGAGUGGCGGACGGGUGAGUAAUGUCUGGGAAACUGCCUGAUGGAGGGGGAUAACUACUGGAAACGGUAGCUAAUACCGCAUACCAUCAGAUGUGCCCAGAUGGGAUUAGCUAGUAGGUGGGGUAAUGGCUCACCUAGGCGACGAUCCCUAGCUGGUCUGAGAGGAUGACCAGCCAAAAUUGAACUGGGAAAGGGUCAAGAUCCUAACGGGAGGAGGAAGGGGGGAUAUUUGCCCAAGGGGGGCAAGCCGAUGCCGCCAGGCGGGGGGUUGGAAGAAGGCCUUGGGGUGGAAAGGCACUUCAAGCAGGGGGACUUAACCGCAGAAAAAGCACCCGCUAACUCCGUGCCAGCAGCCGCGGUAAUUAC